rnacentral:rRNA from 1 species
GAACGGGCACUUCGGUGCUAGUGGCGGACGGGUGAGUGACGCGUGGGAACAUACCCUUUGGUUCGGAAUAGCCUCGGGAAACUGGGAGUAAUACCGGAUAAGCUCUUCGGAGGAAAGAUUUAUCGCCAAAGGAUUGGCCCGCGUUGGAUUAGGUAGUUGGUGGGGUAAUGGCCUACCAAGCCGACGAUCCAUAGCUGGUUUGAGAGGAUGAUCAGCCACACUGGGACUGAGACACGGCCCAGACUCCUACGGGAGGCAGCAGUGGGGAAUCUUAGACAAUGGGGGCAACCCUGAUCUAGCCAUGCCGCGUGAUCGAUGAAGGCCUUAGGGUUGUAAAGAUCUUUCAGUGGGGAAGAUAAUGACGGUACCCACAGAAGAAGCCCCGGCUAACUCCGUGCCAGCAGCCGCGGUAAUACGGAGGGGGCUAGCGUUAUUCGGAAUUACUGGGCGUAAAGCGCACGUAGGCGGACCGGAAAGUCAGAGGUGAAAUCCCAGUGCUCAACCUUGGAACUGCCUUUGAAACUCCUGGUCUUGAGGUCGUGAGAGGUGAGUGGAAUUCCGAGUGUAGAGGUGAA